GGUACGGGGACCGUGUCAGGCGGGCAGUUUGACUGGGGCGGUCGCCUCCUAAAGAGUAACGGAGGCGUUCAAAGGUUCCCUCAGAAUGGUUGGAAAUCAUUCGCAGAGUGCAAAGGCAUAAGGGAGCUUGACUGCGAGACCUACAAGUCGAGCAGGGACGAAAGUCGGACUUAGUGAUCCGGUGGUACCGCAUGGAAGGGCCAUCGCUCAACGGAUAAAAGCUACCCUGGGGAUAACAGGCUUAUCUCCCCCAAGAGUCCACAUCGACGGGGAGGUUUGGCACCUCGAUGUCGGCUCAUCGCAUCCUGGGGCUGAAGUAGGUCCCAAGGGUUGGGCUGUUCGCCCAUUAAAGCGGUACGCGAGCUGGGUUCAGAACGUCGUGAGACAGUUCGGUCCCUAUCUGUCGUGGGCGCAGGAAAUUUGAGAGGAGCUGUCCUUAGUACGAGAGGACCGGGAUGGACGUACCGCUGGUGCAUCAGUUGUUCCGCCAGGAGCAUGGCUGAGUAGCUACGUACGGACGGGAUAAGCGCUGAAAGCAUCUAAGCGUGAAGCCCCCCUCAAGAUGAGAUUUCCCA
rnacentral:rRNA from 1 species